UACUCCUACGGGAGGCAGCAGUAAGGAAUAUUGCGCAAUGGGCGCAAGCCUGAUCCAGCCAUGCCGCGUGUGUGAAGAAGGCCUUCGGGUUGUAAACCGCUUUCAGCAGGAACGAAAAUGACGGUACCUGCAGAAGAAGGUGCGGCCAACUACGUGCCAGCAGCCGCGGUAAU
rnacentral:rRNA from 1 species